GCUAGUAGCUCUUCAUCAACUGUCGACGUCUCCAUUAGGGCGUGAGACUAUCAGAAGGUACUCUGACAUGCAAGUCAAUUUCUUUCCCCAAAUAUCCUUUGGGAUUACCGCCGGCCGUUGCCUUUCGUUCAAGCUUCUAGUGCAGUUAAUGUUCCGAGCUCGCUGAACAACAGCACCUCGGAGGUAACGAUGGCCCUAACUCGG
rnacentral:lncRNA from 1 species